rnacentral:tRNA from 2 species
GACCCCAUCGUCUAGAGGCCUAGGACACUGGCCUUUCACGCCGGCAACACGGGUUCGAAUCCCGUUGGGGUCACCA